GACGAACGCUGGCGGCGUGCUUAACACAUGCAAGUCGAACGGAAAGGCCCUGCUUGCAGGGUACUCGAGUGGCGAACGGGUGAGUAACACGUGGGUGAUCUGCCCUGCACUUCGGGAUAAGCCUGGGAAACUGGGUCUAAUACCGGAUAGGAGCCAUUUUUAGUGUGAUGGUUGGAAAGUUUUUUCGGUGUAGGAUGAGCUCGCGGCCUAUCAGCUUGUUGGUGGGGUAAUGGCCUACCAAGGCGGCGACGGGUAGCCGGCCUGAGAGGGUGGACGGCCACAUUGGGACUAAGAUACGGACCAGACUCCUACGGGAGGCAGCAGUGGGGAAUAUUGCACAAUGGGCGAAAGCCUGAUGCAGCGACGCCGCGUGGGAGAUGACGGCCUUCGGGUUGUAAACUCCUUUCGCUAGGGACGAAGCUUUUUGUGACGGUACCUAGAUAAGAAGCACCGGCUAACUACGUG
rnacentral:rRNA from 1 species